AUACGUAGGGUGCAAGCGUUAAUCGGAAUUACUGGGCGUAAAGCGUGCGCAGGCGGUUCGGAAAGAAGGAUGUGAAAUCCCAGGGCUCGACCUUGGAACUGCAUUCUUAACUACCGAACUAGAGUAUGUCAGAGGGGGGUAGAAUUUCGCGUGUAGCAGUGAAAUGCGUAGAUAUGCGGAGGAAUACCGAUGGCGAAGGCAGCCCCCUGGGAUAAUACUGACGCUCAUGCACGAAAGCGUGGGUAGCAAACAGGAUUAGAUACCCUGGUAGUCCACGCCCUAAACGAUGUCAACUAGCUGUUGGGCCCUUCGGGGCUUAGUAGCGUAGCUAACGCGUGAAGUUGACCGCCUGGGGAGUACGGUCGCAAGAUUAAAACUCAAAUGAAUUGACGGGG
rnacentral:rRNA from 1 species